rnacentral:rRNA from 1 species
CCUACGGGGGGCAGCAGUGAGGAAUAUUGGUCAAUGGGCGUAAGCCUGAACCAGCCAAGUCGCGUGAGGGAUGAAGGUUCUAUGGAUCGUAAACCUCUUUUAUAAGGGAAUAAAGUGUGGGACGUGUCCUGUUUUGUAUGUACCUUAUGAAUAAGGAUCGGCUAACUCCGUGCCAGCAGCCGCGGUAAUACGGAGGAUCCGAGCGUUAUCCGGAUUUAUUGGGUUUAAAGGGUGCGUAGGCGGCCUUUUAAGUCAGCGGUGAAAGUCUGUAGCUCAACCAUAGAAUUGCCGUUGAAACUGGGAGGCUUGAGUAUGGUUGAGGCAGGCGGAAUGCGUGGUGUAGCGGUGAAAUGCUUAGAUAUCACGCAGAACCCCGAUUGCGAAGGCAGCCUGCCAAGCCAUGACUGACGCUGAUGCACGAAAGCGUGGGGAUCAAACAGGAUUAGAUACCCGGGUAGUC